GGGUUGGUCCAGAGGAAUACAAACUCUAAGAUCAAACGUGUGAAGAAGUAGCAAUUACUUGUUGGUACUGCCAGAGAAAUCUUGGUGGAAAUAACUGACUUUCCCAAGGCAGGAAAGGGAUUUUCAAGGGCUGGUACUUGCUGGCCAGACAUGUCUCCAUCUGCCAUAAAUAACUUAUGUGUAGGACACCCAGAACUGGAUGAUSUCUACAGUCUUCAUCUUUAAUGGAAGCCUGUCAGAUUUACUUUUAAUGAUGGCUCUGUAACUAUCCUGGGAAACUUCCCUGUACAUUUCUCCACAGAAUUUCACAACCACAACAUUGAAGUCAUCUCUAAAGCAUUCAUCCCAGUUUCUAAACCUGCCAUAUACUURUGGAAGUCUUUGGAAGUUCAGUGAUGGCUAAGGGAACACCUAAGGAGUGAAAGCUUGUUUUUACCACUGAUAAUUAGGUAUUUUAAGAYAGAAUGAUACUUCUUUCAGAAGUUGUACCAUUAUCUGUGCCACAAACCAUUUAACUGAUAAUGGUGACAAUCCUAAAUCAGUACAUUAUGGUGGGCUUUAACAGAAGUAGUAUUUAAUUGAUCUGUAUGUUUUCACAAUAUCUGAAAGUGCAAACUACAUAUAGAUUUAAAGAAUUUAUUUAUUUGACUUUCCAGAUUUACAGAUUUCUUCUUUAAUAGUAGAAAGCUAUAUGAAUGAAAGGCAUAUUUCUUACACAACUUGUGGUAUAGAUAAAUGUAAGGUAGYAUGAAAGGGUGACAGUUAAUUCUGUUUCUCUCACCUAUUUAUUCCAACCUUAAGUUUGUGUCUYCUAUUAAAAAAAACAACAAACAACUAGCAAUAUUUAUUGACUUUACACCACUGAGUCUCUGUCAGCAAAAGUACAUAAAUAUACAGUGAUCUGCCACUGAGAAGACUUAUAAUGAAUGCAAGGCARUGCUGUUCUAAUGAGACAUAGCAUCUCCAUUUGCAGAGUGUACCAUUACUUUGGCUUCUGUUUCACAAACUCUAAAAUGUGUUUGCAUAUGUAUUUCAGUUUUGGAACAUAUAAAUAAGUGGUUAGAACUAUUUUACACCUCCCCAUAUGGACUCAUUAGUACAAUACAUUUUCCCAACAAAAAACUAUCCAAACACACUGCAGAGCUGCCUUAAAUUAAAUUAAGUGAACCGCAAAAAAUAAUUUGAAAUAAAACUAAACACUAAGACCAAUAACCAAAACAUUCCAACUUCACUAAAAAAAUAGGGAAAAAACUCCUAAAAAUAGAUAAAUGCUUCACUUUAUUGGUUUUUUUUUUUGUCUUAUUCCAUGCUCUUGUUCUGCUUUGUGGUGGCUGCAUACACAUUAUUAUAUAAAUACACAUGUGCCCAUCUGUUUUCCUAUCAUGAGUGACCAAUUUCUCCUUGUUUGCAGUUCAGGAUGAGUGAUGUGAAGUGGUUUCAUUUGUGUGCAUGAGAUAUAUAUACAGAUAUAUAYCAUGAUGGAUUGUCAGUGCACAGGACUAAGCUCUAACGAGAAGAAAAAAAACAAUGAUCUGAUAUCAGUGCUAAAGGAGCCCAGAAUGUGGUUCAGACUGUGCUGGUACUGCUUUUUAAGGUGCUUGAAACACAUGGUGAUGGUGGCAGUGGUGAGUGUGCACAGGUGUUUCUGCAUGGGUGAAUACACAUUUCUGGGUGUAUUGGUAAAAGACCCACAUGGACUGGUGAGAGACUAAUGAAAGCAAAGCAGGCGAGUCACAAGCCAAGAAAUCUGGAAGGAAACAGCUGUGGCUGCUAGCAUCCAUUCCCAGAUAGAAAUACAUAUUUAGAAGUCCACACAAAUCCCCAAAAGGAGUUGGGGAAAGUCCUUACUGAUGAUUAGUGAAUAUACUGUUCCAAACCGUAUUCCAGAGGUGUGUUACACAAAGAGUGCCCAUAGAAUAGAGGAAAGUGAGCCUUUCUGUAAGUUUUCACUAUUGGAAUAUGACUUUUAGAUCCAUAAUAAAGUCAUGAGAGGGAAAAUUUUAUUAGGCAGCUUUGUUUAUGUGAGAUGUGAUAUCCCAAAGAGUGCCUAAGGAGGCAGGAAAGGCAAGUGCUGCUGUAGAUCUCAGAGGGACAUGCUAAAUCAAUGCUGUCAUUUGCUUCACUGCUUGGAAAAGUUAGGCAGAUGAUUUACAUUUCAUUAAAAAAUUAUUCUUGGAGACUCCAGGCAGUAAUCUGGAUUGUACUACCAUGCUGUACUCACACACAAAAUUAUUAACAGAUUGUUCUGAGAUGGUGUUCCCCACAAUAAGUCACAGUGAAGGAAAACCAAGGGUGGUAUAACAAAUCAUGUUUAAGUUACAUGAAAAGAAGUCAUCCUCUUGGUCUAACUAYGUAUGUUUCCUGUGAUGGGAAAAAUCUGGAGAAGAUUGUUGUUCUGUUUGAGUUUUUUAGGGGGAAUAUUAUAGAAAGAGAGUGGUAUCAUACAGAGCAUGGCUCAAUUAAAUGUGACGGAUAGAGUGGGUAAAACCUCAUCACUUGCCUUGCAAGAUGUAAACACAUACCUAUUGAGACAACCAUACUUGUUUCCUUCUAAAUAUUAUAAACCACUAAAAGCUGAAAGGUCUGUAAUGUGAGACCUCUCCCAAGCCCAACCAGUGACUUGUAAUUAGUCUGAUGCCUCUACACAUGUGCAGGUAGUAGAUAUCUACUCAUGCAUUCAUGUCAAACCUCUCCACAUACAGGCUCUUCACAGGCCAGAGAACCUUUUCCUUUUAUCCUAGUGUCAGUAUUGAGACGAUUUAUUUUUAUUCUUUAGUGAGAACCUUCUAGGGUGUUACUAUAUAAAUACAGAGAGGCUACAGAACGAAAAACCCACUUAUUGGCCAUUCUAGAUGCAGAUUUAGACAAUAAAUUAUUUUUACCAGUCAUUCAGAGUUUAUAAUAUGACUGUACUUUCCUAUUAUAGGAUUCUCAUUUACAUAAUAACAUCCUGAUACAGAGAUGUCUCUUUCAAAACAAGCUUCUUAGCAGUGGGGUAGUUUCUUGACAGUAGUCCAUAAAAAAAGGACACAAACUCUGAGUAGUGUCUGUGAGUUUCAGGAAUGCAAGAGUGUUUAUCACUAAAAUAUUAAUAUUCUUGUAAAGAUGACAGAUAUUAGACUUUUUCAAGUCAUAUGAGUAUGGAAAAUAAAGGCACAGAUGAAGUGAAAACAGAGGUG